UACGUAGGGCGCAAGCGUUGUCCGGAAUUAUUGGGCGUAAAGAGCUCGUAGGCGGUUUGUCGCGUCUGCUGUGAAAACCUAAGGCUCAACCUUGGGCUUGCAGUGGGUACGGGCAGACUAGAGUGCGGUAGGGGUGACUGGAAUUCCUGGUGUAGCGGUGGAAUGCGCAGAUAUCAGGAGGAACACCGAUGGCGAAGGCAGGUCACUGGGCCGCAACUGACGCUGAGGAGCGAAGGCCAGGGGAGCAAACGGG
rnacentral:rRNA from 1 species